rnacentral:rRNA from 1 species
GAUCUGGCUCAGGAUGAACGCUGGCGGCGUGCUUAACACAUGCAAGUCGAGCGAAGCACUUAAGUUUGAUUCUUCGGAUGAAGACUUUUGUGACUGAGCGGCGGACGGGUGAGUAACGCGUGGGUAACCUGCCUCAUACAGGGGGAUAACAGUUAGAAAUGACUGCUAAUACCGCAUAAGACCACGGUACCGCAUGGUACAGUGGUAAAAACUCCGGUGGUAUGAGAUGGACCCGCGU